rnacentral:rRNA from 1 species
UACGUAGGGUGCGAACGUUGUUCGGAAUUACUGGGCGUAAAGCGUGUGUAGGCGGCUAUGUAAGUCGGAUGUGAAAGCCCCGGGCUCAACCCGGGAAGUGCACUCGAUACUGCGUAGCUUGAGUCUCGGAGAGGUUGGUGGAAUUCUCGGUGUAGAGGUGAAAUUCGUAGAUAUCGAGAGGAACACCGGUGGCGAAGGCGGCCAACUGGACGAAGACUGACGCUGAGACACGAAAGCGUGGGGAGCAAACAGG